rnacentral:rRNA from 1 species
AGGCCUUCGGGUCGUAAAGCUCUGUUGUUAGGGAAGAACAAGUGCGAGAGUAACUGCUCGCACCUUGACGGUACCUAACCAGAAAGCCACGGCUAACUACGUGCCAGCAGCCGCGGUAAUACGUAGGUGGCAAGCGUUGUCCGGAAUUAUUGGGCGUAAAGCGCGCGCAGGUGGUCCUUUAAGUCUGAUGUGAAAGCCCACGGCUCAACCGUGGAGGGUCAUUGGAAACUGGGGGACUUGAGUGCAGAAGAGGAAAGUGGAAUUCCACGUGUAGCGGUGAAAUGCGUAGAGAUGUGGAGGAACACCAGUGGCGAAGGCGACUUUCUGGUCUGUAACUGACACUGAGGCGCGAAAGCGUGGGGAGCAAACAGGAUUAGAUACCCUGGUAGUCCACGCCGUAAACGAUGAGUGCUAAGUGUUGGAGGGUUUCCGCCCUUCAGUGCUGCAGCUAACGCAUUAAGCACUCCGCCUGGGGAGUACGGUCGCAAGACUGAAACUCAAAGGAAUUGACGGGGGCCCGCACAAGCGGUGGAGCAUGUGGUUUAACUCGAAGCAACGCGAAGAACCUUACCAGCUCUUGACAUCCUUUUGCCUUACCUAGAGAUAGGGAUUUCCCUUCGGGGACAAAAGUGACAGGUGGUGCAUGGUUGUCGUCAGCUCGUGUCGUGAGAUGUUGGGUUAAGUCCCGCAACGAGCGCAACCCUUGAUCUUAGUUGCCAU